rnacentral:rRNA from 1 species
UUUUUUGAGAGUUUGAUCCUGGCUCAGGAUGAACGCUGGCGGCGUGCUUAACACAUGCAAGUCGAACGGAGAAGAGCAGAGUACUUGUACAAAGCUUUUCUUAGUGGCGGACGGGCGAGUAACGCGUGAGCAACCUACCUUUAACUGGGGAACAACAACGGGAAACUGUUGCUAAUACCGCAUAAAGUACCGAGAUGACAUCAUCAUGGUACCAAAGAAGCAAUUCGGUUAGAGAUGGGCUCGCGUCUGAUUAGAUAGUUGGUGAGGUAACGGCUCACCAAGUCU